GAGUCUAGCAGUUAUGAGCUCAACUUGUCAGGUGGACAGAGCUGGCUGUAUUGCAUAAAGCUGUAGGAUUCUGAAGCAAGUUAAAUCUAUUGAAUGCUCAUUUCUCACCUGUGAAGUGGGCUUACUUGUAUCUUCCUCACACAUGUAUGAAGACUGUGGUAUACUGCAGUCAUUUUUAGCUUUCAUGACCUUUAUUGCAGAAGAGAAGACCACAGGUCAGCGGCAUGGAUUAGAGAAAUCCCACUCCAAGCUGCAAAGAUAACUACUAUUGUCAAUCUGGUCUCAGGAUAAAGUGUUUCCAAGUGGUACAGGUCUCAAGCUGGGCUUCUUCUGAGUUCCAUGGAUUAAGCCUAACUGACGGGCAGAGAAUAAGUAGGAAAACAGGCCCUAACCCAACAGACACAAAUCGAGUUUUUCCAGCCCAGCUCUCAAGUGCCAGCCUAGACCAUUUAUAUUCUUUCUGGUCAGCGCUAUGGUUGCUAAAGUCUCUUACAUCUAGAUGUGCAACAUAAAAGAA